rnacentral:rRNA from 1 species
AUGAACGCUGACAGAAUGCUUAACACCUGCAAGUCGAUGGGGAAGUGGUGCUUGCACCAUGGCAACCAUGGCGGACGGGUGAGUAACGCGUAAGGGACUUACCUGCAGGACUGGGAUAACAGGGGGAAACUCCUGACAAGACCGGAUAAUGUCAUGGAGCUGCAUGGCUUUAUGAUGAAAGGAGACGCCUGCGGAGAGCCUUGCGUCCUAUUAGCUAGUUGGCGAGGUAAUGGCUCACCAAGGCGAAGAUAGGUAGCCGGCCUGAGAGGGUGGACGGCCACAAGGGGAAUGAGAUACGGCCCUUACUCCUACGGGAGGCAGCAGUGGGGAAUAUUGGACAAUGGGGGCAACACUGAUCCAGCAAUUCUGUGUGCACGAAGAAGGUUUUCGGAUUGUAAAGUGCUUUCAGCAGGGAAGAAGUAAGUGACGGUACCUGCAGAAGAAGCGACGGCUAAAUACGUG